UCCUUUUCAACUUCAAAAUGAGAUUUACAUGAUGAAGAAUUCAAAAAAUGAACCUGUAAAUGAAAGGAAAAGAGGUGAAGAAAGCAGUAACAGCAACAUCCCAAUAAUCAGAGAACAAGGCAAGGAUCCAAUUUGGUUUGGUCAAUAGAACAGUAACAGUAGUAGCAGAACUCAAAACCCAAGUCCACUAGCAGAGUAAUCCCAAUAACAAAACCUCAAAAACCAAGCUCUAAGAACACAGACUCAGGCCAUUUAAUUCUAGAUGAAUCAGAAAUGUUUCAGAAAUUAAAAAUCUCAAAAAUCACAGAAGAAGCAUGAUGGAACAAUGAUUUUUGUUGAAAUUUUCAGCCAUUUUGCAUUUUUCAGAAUUCAUGAAUCAGAAAUGUUUCAGUAAUUAAAAAUCUCAAAAAUCACAGAAGAAGCAUGAUGGAACAAUGAUUUUUGUUGAAAUUUUCAGCCAUUUUGCAUUUUUCAGAAUUUUAUCUCUCAAAAAAUUCCCC
rnacentral:lncRNA from 1 species